CUGGCGUCAAAGUCCCUGUGACAAGGCUGGAGAACGCAGGCCAGACCCACAGAACCGCAGUUUUCGGGCCUUGGGCUCAGGCAGACCAUGGAAGGAAUUUGCUGGACCUGUUCUCGGCAGCGUGGUCUGGGCGGGCAGGACAAGGCGGCUUUGUUCCUGACUUCGGGACCUAAUCCAACCGGCUGGAAAUCGUGUUUCUUUUCCCAGGUCAGGCACCUCCCCUCUGCUCCCCGAGAAGGUCGCCUCCCCAAGACCUGAUAAGACUCUGUGACAUCAUGUCGCAUCGGGGCCCAGCCUGCCUCCCAGGAGCCUCCCCCAGGAGCAGGUGUCCCGGCGGAGUCUGCCUGCCACCCUGACCCGGGUCUGCUGCCCAGUGGCCCUUAGGGCUUAGCACUUGAAGCUGUCUUCGUGGUUUUUCCAGUGACGUUGGCCAUUAGCCACUGUGUCUCUUCCCGGCUGCAGCUGGUCCUGGGCUGCGUGCUGCAGGCCUGCCGGUCAUACCCAGGGAGAUUCGCAAAAAGACGGCACCAGCAUUUGUGUGCUGGCCUGUGUGAAAACAAAGACCCUUUCAAAGAGUGACCAAGAGUUACCACCGGUGCCUGGAAGGAAGGCGUCAAGCAGAGAGUGGGGAGCUGGUGUGCGGGCUCCCUGGCCAGCUCAGGCCCGGCCCCCAGGUGAGCCCGGGGCAGAGGCAGCCACACAGCACGUCCUGCGUGUGGACUGGAAACCUGAGGCAGAGUCCUCUCACUCGUGUUGUUCAGCUGCGUGGAGCAUCAGGUCUGGGGUUGUUCUUGUUGAUUCAUGUCAACUCCCCACCCCAAUUAAAGGUGUGUGGAAGCAA